rnacentral:tRNA from 1 species
AGCCUUGGGGUGUUAGCACGCUAGAUUGCAACUCUGGAGAAGCAGGGUAAUUUCCUGCCGGGGCUU